CGCGGGGUGGAGCAGCCCGGUAGCUCGUCAGGCUCAUAACCUGAAGGCCGCAGGUUCAAAUCCUGCCCCCGCAA
rfam:Gemmobacter megaterium strain DSM 26375 genome assembly, contig: Ga0111664_128